GUACACACGCAAACGCCAUUAAAAACGAGGGCCGAGGGGCUUAAAUUGCAAACGUCCCUUGUUUGGCUAAUCACUUGGCCCAAAGACAAAUAUGGCUGCGGGGAUUCCCCUAGGGGCAUAGACCUGAGGGUUUAGGGCUGAGGGCUAUCUACUUUAAGUUUCAAAUGAAUCCACAGUUUCCGUUUAUUACAUCAAUGUUAUUCUCACAAGCUCCCCGGGAACAUAUUCUAAGCAAUUACUUGGAAUUAAACUAAUACAUAAAAUGAGACUACAUGUAACUACGUUGUAUCUAUGCAACUUAAUGAAGUGUAACAUAAAGUAUGGCUACUUCCGAAAGGAGGGAGUUAUUUGAUGUAGAAUGCCUGUGAUUUCAUCCACAGCGUUAGGAAGAGAAAGAGUUGCAGGAGGCGGAGUAGCCUACACAGAUUCCCCGUGGCGAUGCGUCCACUAGCCGUUAGAAUCUGGACUGCAUUACAGUCAGGCGCUUCCUCACUCUCCUCCUCUCCCGCCCAGAGUGCCAAGCGUCUUUCCAGUUGGAUUGAGCCAUGUAAACGGACCGGUAACAGCUGAGCGACUGCUCGUGCCCUGCUGCUGUGAGAGUUGGUGGUUGAACUGUAGACGAGCUUGGCAGUACAGAAGAUCGAUCGCGUCGUUUUGUGGUGGUUUCCCCCUCUGGAAUCUACGAGUGAGAAGUUAAUGAGUCUCCCUGCAGCCUCAAUAUGAACAGCAUUUACCAUCUCGUUUUUCUGGUCCCUGUGCUUGUUGGGGCGCAGCAGCUGUUACCCGGAUCCUGUAGCUUUGAUACCGGUACAUGCGAUUACACCUCUGACCUUGCCUAUGCCAGAUGGACCAGGAACGAGGAAGAGGACGGUAUCACCAUAAAUGCUGCACGGCCAAUAUGGACAACGGAUUGACCAUGGAGCGGCUUUUACGAGAGUAUUUGUCAUUCGUUACUUCCACUCCAUACAGGGGUCAGGAGGUUAAGCAGACAUCUAAGGUCUAUCAAAAAAGGCAGAGAUAUUAUAGAUCACUCAAAGGCACAGAGGCCCCUUUACACACCCAAAUAACUCUGCUAAACCAAAUCACCCAGACACAGACCCUUUGUUUUGUUAAACCCAUAGAGACAAAGCUCUCCAUUACUCACCAGGGUUACGUUCACCAGGACAACUCACCUGGACCUUAGCCAAUCACCC
rnacentral:lncRNA from 1 species